UACGUAGGUCGCAAGCGUUGUCCGGAUUUACUGGGCGUAAAGAGCGCGCAGGCGGCUGGUCAAGUCCGAUGUGAAAUCUCCCGGCUUAACUGGGAAACUGCAUCGGAAACUGAUCGGCUUGAAGGUGGGAGAGGGUAGUGGAAUUCCCGGUGUAGUGGUGAAAUGCGUAGAUAUCGGGAGGAACACCGGUGGCGAAGGCGGCGACCUGGACAGUAACUGACGCUGAGACGCGAAAGCGUGGGUAGCAAACAGG
rnacentral:rRNA from 1 species